rnacentral:rRNA from 1 species
GGAAAGCCGCUUACGCAGGUCUGGUUGAGGUUUUCGGGGGCUCCAUCUAAGCCUUUGCAGGAUGUUCGAGUUGUGGCCAGUAUGGGCAUUAUGGUUGGCAAGACGGAGAAAGUGGAUAUGGCCUUUACUCGUGCACAUGGAGUGGCCCGCAUCUUAGUGAGUGUUUUGGAUAUUGAGUUCGUGCCUGAUGUGGUCAACUGGACUUAUAGGGGAGAGGUGUUUCCUCUUGAGAUCGAGUUCGAGGACGCCGCCCUGUUUGCUGAGGCAAUGAUUGGGAAUGAUGUUGAUAUGCACGAGGGGGACGACAGUGCGGGAGCUGAGGGGGCACCGACUGACGAGUCGACU